UACGGGGGGGGCAAGCGUUGUUCGGAAUUACUGGGCGUAAAGGGCGCGUAGGCGGUUUGAUAAGUCAGCUGUGAAAACCAUGGGCUUAACUCAUGGCCUGCAGUUGAGACUGUCGGGCUGGAGUGUGGGAGAGGAGAGUGGAAUUCCUGGUGUAGCGGUGAAAUGCGCAGAUAUCAGGAAGAACACCUAUGGCGAAAGCAGCUCUCUGGGACGGUACUGACGCUGAGACGCGAAAGCGUGGGGAGCGAACAGG
rnacentral:rRNA from 1 species